UACGUAGGGUGCAAGCGUUAAUCGGAAUUACUGGGCGUAAAGCGUGCGUAGGCGGUUGCGCAAGACAGGUGUGAAAUCCCCGGGCUUAACCUGGGAAUUGCACUUGUGACUGUGCGGCUGGAGUGCGGCAGAGGGGGAUGGAAUUCCGCGUGUAGCAGUGAAAUGCGUAGAUAUUCGGAAGAACACCAGUGGCGAAGGCGGCUCACUGGACUGGUAUUGACGCUGAGGUGCGAAAGCGUGGGGAGCAAACAGG
rnacentral:rRNA from 1 species